rnacentral:rRNA from 1 species
GCCUAAAGCGUCCGUAGCCUGAUCUAUAAGUUUCCGGUUAAAUCCACAUGCUCAACAUUUGGGCUGCCGGAAAAACUGUAGAUCUAGGGAGUGGGAGAGGUAGACGGUACUCGAUAGGAAGGGGUAAAAUCCUUUGAUCUAUUGAUGACCACCAGUGGCGAAGGCGGUCUACCAGAACACGUUCGACGGUGAGGGAUGAAAGCUGGGGGAGCAAACCGGAUUAGAUACCCGGGUAGUCCCAGCUGUAAACUAUGCAAACUCAGUGAUGCAUUGGCUUGUGGCCAGUGCAGUGCCGCAGGGAAGCCGUUAAGUUUGCCGCCUGGGAAGUACGUACGCAAGUAUGAAACUUAAAGGAAUUGGCGGGGGAGCACCACAAGGGGUGAAGCCUGCGGUUUAAUUGGAGUCAACGCCAGAAAUCUUACCCGGAGAGACAGCAGGAUGAAGGUCAAGCUGAAGACUUUACCAGACAAGCUGAGAAGUGGUGCAUGGCCGUCGCCAGCUCGUGCCGUGAGGUGUCCUGUUAAGUCAGGUAACGAGCGAGAUCCUUGCCUCUAGUUGCCACCAUUACUCUCAGGAGUAGUGGGGCGAAUUAGCGGGACUGCCGUAGUUAAUACGGAGGAAGGAGAGGGCCACGGCAGGUCAGUAUGCCCCGAA